rnacentral:tRNA from 1 species
GCCUUGAUGGCGGAAUUGGUAUACGCGCUAGCUUUAGGAGCUAGUGGAGUAAUCCAUGAGGGUUCAAGUCCCUCUCAAGGCACCA